rnacentral:rRNA from 1 species
AUUACCUCGGGAGGCAGCAGUGAGGAAUAUUGGUCAAUGGGCGGUAGCCUGAACCAGCCAAGUAGCGUGAAGGAUGAAGGUUCUAUGGAUUGUAAACUUCUUUUAUAAAGGAAUAAAGUGAGGCACGUGUGCCUUUUUGUAUGUACUUUAUGAAUAAGGAUCGGCUAACUCCGUGCCAGCAGCUGCGGUAAUACGGAGGAUCCGAGCGUUAUCCGGAUUUAUUGGGUUUAAAGGGAGCGUAGAUGGGUUGUUAAGUCAGUUGUGAAAGUUUGCGGCUCAACCGUAAAAUUGCAAUUGUUACUGGG